CCUACGGGAGGCUGCAGUGGGGAAUAUUGCGCAAUGGACGGAAGUCUGACGCAGCGACGCCGCGUGAGCGACGAAGGCCUUCGGGUCGUAAAGCUCUGUUCUUGGGGACGAAUAAAGUGACGGUACCCAAGGAGCAAGCCCCGGCUAACUACGUGCCAGCAGCCGCGGUAACACGUAGGGGGCAAGCGUUGUCCGGAAUUACUGGGCGUAAAGGGCGUGUAGGCGGCCAUGUAUGUCAGGUGUGAAAGGCCUCGGCUUAACCGAGGCAUUGCACAUGAAACUGUAUGGCUUGAGUGCAGGAGAGGGGAGUGGAAUUCCUAGUGUAGCGGUGAAAUGCGUAGAUAUUAGGAGGAACACCAGUGGCGAAGGCGACUUCCUGGACUGUAACUGACGCUGAGGCGCGAAAGCGUGGGUAGCAAACAGGCUUAGAUACCCGUGUAGUC
rnacentral:rRNA from 1 species